rnacentral:rRNA from 1 species
AAGUUUGAUCCUGGCUCAGAACGAACGCUGGCGGCGUGGAUAAGACAUGCAAGUCGAACGCUGACUACGGGGUAGCAAUAUCACGUAGUCGGAGUGGCGCAAGGGUGCGUAACACGUGGGUAAUUUGCCGUAAUGCCUGGAAUAACUCGCUGAAAGGCGAGCUAAUACCGGAUGUGAAUGUUGGGUGGCAUCACUUGAUAUUCAAAGUUGGGGACCGCAAGGCCUGACACUUUACGAUAAGCCCGCGGCCUAUCAGCUAGUUGGUGAGGUAACGGCUCACCAAGGCUAAGACGGGUAGCUGGUCUGAGAGGACGACCAGUCACACUGGAACUGAGACACGGUCCAGACACCUACGGGUGGCAGCAGUCGAGAAUUUUUCUCAAUGGGCGAAAGCCUGAAGGAGCGACGCCGCGUGGGGGAUGAAUGGCUUCGGCCCGUAAACCCCUGUCAUUUGCGAACAAAUUAAUUCACCCAACACGUGGAUUAUUGAUUGUAGCGGAAGAGGAAGGGAC